UGGGGAAUAUUGGACAAUGGGUGAGAGCCUGAUCCAGCCAUGCCGCGUGCAGGAAGAAGGCGUUAUGCGUUGUAAACUGCUUUUGCCAGGGGAUAAAAAGACCGUGCGCGGUUAAUUGAAGGUACCUGGUGAAUAAGCCACGGCUAACUACGUGCCAGCAGCCGCGGUAAUACGUAGGGACCAAGCGUUGUUCGGAUUUACUGGGCGUAAAGGGCGCGUAGGCAGCAAUUCAAGUCAUCUGUGAAAUCUCCGGGCUUAACUCGGAACGGUCAGAUGAUACUGCUUUGCUAGAGUGCAGAAGGGGCAAUCGGAAUUCUUGGUGUAGCGGUGAAAUGCGUAGAUAUCAAGAGGAACACCUGAGGUGAAGACGGGUUGCUGGGCUGACACUGACGCUGAGGCGCGAAAGCCAGGGGAGCAAACGGGAUUAGAUACCCGCGUAGUCCCUGAGCGGGCUGGCAAGGCGCAU
rnacentral:rRNA from 1 species